GACGAACGCUGGCGGCGUGCUUAACACAUGCAAGUCGAACGAGAUUUAGCGGAGCUUGCUCUGCGACGAUCUAGUGGCGAACGGGUGAGUAACACGUGAGAAACCUGCCCCGAAGACCGGGAUAACCACGGGAAACUGUGGCUAAUACCGGAUGGUCUGGUUUGGCUUCAUGGCCGAACCAGUAAAUGGAUUCCGCUUCGGGAGGGUCUCGCGGCCUAUCAGCUUGUUGGCGGGGUAACGGCCCACCAAGGCAUCGACGGGUAGCUGGUCUGAGAGGACGAUCAGCCACACUGGGACUGAGACACGGCCCAGACUCCUACGGGAGGCAGCAGUGGGGAAUAUUGCGCAAUGGGCGAAAGCCUGACGCAGCAACGCCGCGUGGGGGAUGAAGGCUCUCGGGUCGUAAACCCCUUUCAGCAGGGACGAAAAUGACGGUACCUGCAGAAGAAGCCCCGGCCAACUACG
rnacentral:rRNA from 1 species